rnacentral:rRNA from 1 species
UACGGAGGGUGCAAGCGUUAAUCGGAAUUACUGGGCGUAAAGAGUACGUAGGCUGGUCUGUAUGUCGAUUGUGAAAGCCCAGGGCUCAACCCUGGAAUUGCAGUCGAAACUGCAGAUCUUGAAUGCUUGAGAGGGUGGGGGAAUUCCUGGUGGAGAAGUGAAAUUCGUAGAUAUCAGGAGGAACACCGGAGGUGAAGACGCCUACCUGGCAGUGCAUUGACGCUGAGGUGCGAAAGCGUGGGGAGCAAACAGG